rnacentral:rRNA from 1 species
AUACGGAGGAUCCGAGCGUUAUCCGGAUUUAUUGGGUUUAAAGGGAGCGUAGGCGGACUAUUAAGUCAGCUGUGAAAGUUUGCGGCUCAACCGUAAAAUUGCAGUUGAUACUGGUCGUCUUGAGUGCAGUAGAGGUAGGCGGGAUUCGUGGUGUAGCGGUGAAAUGCUUAGAUAUCACGAAGAACUCCGAUUGCGAAGGCAGCUUACUGGACUGUAACUGACGCUGAUGCUCGAAAGUGUGGGUAUCAAACAGGAUUAGAUACCCUGGUAGUCCACACAGUAAACGAUGAAUACUCGCUGUUUGCGAUAUACGGCAAGCGGCCAAGCGAAAGCAUUAAGUAUUCCACCUGGGGAGUACGCCGGCAACGGUGAAACUCAAAUGAAUUGACGGGG